rnacentral:rRNA from 1 species
AUUCCAGCUCCAAUAGCGUAUAUUAAAGUUGUUGCAGUUAAAAAGCUCGUAGUUGGAUUUCAGAGUGAGCUCGUCCGGUCGGCCUAAAUGGUCUGAACUGGUUGACUCUCUCUUGCUUGUGGAUCCCGCCCGGAGUUAACUCUUCGGAUGUGGACUUCACAUCGUUUACCUUGAAAAAAUUAGAGUGUUCAAAGCAGGCGUAUGCUUGAAUAUAUUAGCAUGGAAUAAUGGAAUAGGACCCUGGUUCUAUUUUGUUGGUUUUGAGGACCAGAGUAAUGAUUAAUAGGGAUAGUUGGGGGCAUUCAUAUUUCAUUGUCAGAGGUGAAAUUCUUGGAUUUAUGAAAGAUGAACUUCUGCGAAAGCAUUUGCCAAGGAUGUUUUCAUCA